GGGCCAGGCACUGUCUCGGCACACCUGUGCAACUGCUUGGAUACGACAGAGGCUGCUCCAAGGGACACUGUGACGCCGUGAUGACCCUGAGGGGCCUCUUUGCUCUCCCCCCACAACUGCUUCAGAAACUGUGUAGCAAGAUUCUACAAUGGCUUUGUGGCAGUGUCUUUUGAAACUAGGGCUCCUGAGGACACACCUCCCUGGAUUUGAAUCGGGAGACUGCACUGUGUACCCAGCAACCACUCAAUAGCCCUAGCCUCAGUUUCUUUGACAUUUUCCGUGAAGCUGAAGAUCUCCUCUUCCUCAAUCCCCAUUUUAUUACCCCAAAGAAAAAAUUCAGCAAG